UACUCCUACGGGAGGCAGCAGUGGGGAAUAUUGGACAAUGGGCGAAAGCCUGAUCCAGCAAUGCCGCGUGAGUGAUGAAGGCCUUAGGGUUGUAAAGCUCUUUUACCAGGGAUGAUAAUGACAGUACCUGGAGAAUAAGCUCCGGCUAACUCCGUGCCAGCAGCCGCGGUAAUACGGAGGGAGCUAGCGUUGUUCGGAAUUACUGGGCGUAAAGCGUGCGUAGGCGGUGACUCAAGUCAGAGGUGAAAGCCUGGAGCUCAACUCCAGAACUGCCUUUGAAACUAGGUCGCUAGAAUCUGGGAGAGGUGAGUGGAAUUCCGAGUGUAGAGGUGAAAUUCGUAGAUAUUGGAAGAACACCAGUGGCGAAGGCGGCUCACUGGACCAGAAUUGACGCUGAGGCACGAAAGCGUGGGGAGCAAACAGGAUUAGAUACCCUGGUAGUCCACGCCGUAAACGAUGAUAACUAGCUGCCAGGGCUCUUAGAGCUUUGGUGGCGCAGCUAACGCAUUAAGUUAUCCGCCUGGGGAGUACGGUCGCAAGAUUAAAACUCAAAUGAAUUGACGG
rnacentral:rRNA from 1 species